rnacentral:misc_RNA from 1 species
AAAGUCGUAACAAGGUUUCCGUAGGUGAACCUGCGGAAGGAUCAUUACCGAGUUCAUGCCCUCACGGGUAGACCUCCCACCCUUUGUUUACCAUACCUCUGUUGCUUUGGCGGGACGCUUCGGCCACCGGCUUCGGCUGGUGCGUGCCCGCCAGGGAACACACAACCCUAUAAUUGACAUGUCUGAAUACACUAAAAUAUUAAAACUUUUAACAACGGAUCUCUUGGCUCUG